UGCCAGCCGCCGCGGUAAUACGGAGGGGGCUAGCGUUGUUCGGAAUUACUGGGCGUAAAGCGCGUGUAGGCGGUUCGUUAAGUCUGAUGUGAAAGCCCGGGGCUCAACCCCGGAAGUGCAUUGGAAACUGCUUAGCUAGAGUAUGAGAGAGGGUAGUGGAAUUCCGGGUGUAGCGGUGAAAUGCGUAGAUAUCCGGAGGAACAUCAGUGGCGAAGGCGGCUGCCUGGCUCAAUACUGACACUGAGGUGCGAAAGCGUGGGGAGCAAACAGGAUUAGAUA
rnacentral:rRNA from 1 species